UUUUUUUUUUUUUUUUUUUUUUUUUUUCUUUUUUGGCAGCCCCGUGGCAUAUGGAAGUUCCAGUUCCUGGGCCGUGGAUCAGAUCUGAGCCACAGCUACCACUAAACACUGCAGCUUCAGCAACACUGGAUCCUUAACCCACUGCGCCGGGCUGGGUGUUGAACCAGCAUCCCAGUGCUGCAGGGACGCCACCAAUCCCGUUGCACCACACAGGAACUCCUUGUUUGUUUUUAGUGUGUUUCAUGUAAGCAUGAAUAUACAAUAUAAAAAUGUAUAUUGACCUUGUUUUCAUUUUUCCAAUCCAACUAAAUAAUGUGUUAUUUGAUGAAUGAGUUCAAUUCAUUUCUACUCAGUAUGAUUAUAGAGACACUAUAUAGUCCAUCUGAGAUAGUCAGAAUUUUUUCUGCCAUCUUAUUUUGUACUUUCUAUUCAUGUUUUUUUACCCUCCUGUUCUUUUCCUACUUUUUGUGAUUAAAGAAAUUUGUUCACUUUUAUCACGCUGCUAAUUUCAAAGUUAUAGCUUGUAUUUAUAUUUUAGUAGUUAUCUUUUAAUUUUUACCAUAAACGUUUAACUUUGUAUUCUAAUAAAAUAUAAAAUAAUUCGGUAUCUAUAUUUAUUCCCCUAAAGAAAACCAAAUAUUUUAACACACGUAACUUUUUCAAAUUCUUCCCUCGGGUCCCUAAUAUUAUUACCCCGAGUUUUAGUUCUGCCUUUUUGAUUAAUGCAAACACUGGGUCUUAUUCAUAUUGUUGUUAUGUUUUUGGCGAGUAAUUAAUUAAAUUUAUAACUCUCUUUUACCAUUGGCUUUGAAUAGCAUUGCUUCCUAUCAUCACAUUCCUUCCUUUCGGUUGAUUUUUCUUCUUGCAGAAUUUCAUUUAUUUGUAAUUUUGGGUGAAGGUCCGUUGCUGGUGAUCUGUUUUCGUUUGUGAACAACCAAAAAUGGCUUUAUUUUGUUCUCACUGCUUGAUAAUAGUUUAUUGACGAUAGAGCUGGCAAUAGCGCCUCCCUCCCCCCCCAUCUCCCCUUCCUCCUCCUCCUCCCCUGCUCCUCCUUGAAAGCUCUGGCUUCCUAGACUUCUGGCCUCAGCUACUGCUUGCAAGAAACCUACCAUCUCCAUUUUGAUGGGUAAUUGGUCUCUCCUCUCUGUUAGAGUUUAACACUUUACUUUUAUCUUUGAAGUUUUAUAGUUUCACCAGAUCAGUUGAAUUGUAGGUAUUCUGGCCUCACAAGGCACACUUUCUGGGAAGACUCACGUCUUUCUAAAUUCUGCGCAAUUUAGUUUUUCUCUGACGCCUGCUUCGUUACCCUUUUCCCUAGCACACAUGUCUGGACUUCCUCUCAGGUGAGAGAUGGCGUUUCUCAAGACGGCAUGGCAGUGCCCCUACCUCUGCCCAAGAUCUGUUACAGGGCAGCCCCUACUGAAAACAGCCUGUUAUUGAGGCAGGUGGAAGGGGCUCAGCACCAGCCCCGCCGCAGGUGUGCGGAUCAGAUGGGCGCCGUCUACCCCGAGGGAGGAGCUACCUGCUGGCCGCUCUCAAGGCAAAAGGCCUUCUGCACUCACUGCAGCUGAAUCCGGAUGGUCUGUGGGCCUUCGCGGGCCCGCAGGGCUCGUCCCCUGCACCUCCCUGUUCUACGCCUGCAGUGGAACGUUCCAGCCCUCCAGUUUGGCUGAACUGCAGGUGCUUGGUCAGCCAGGGGGGUGGGGGAGCGUGGGAGCCUGGUCUCC
rnacentral:lncRNA from 1 species